GGAUGCGGUACAUUACAGAAGGAAUAAUUGAGAAGAUGAACAAAGUAUUAGUGGACACUGGUGACAUGACAAGUCUGCAGAGCUCAGGUGGCAACUCAACAGAAUAUGAUGUGCAAGGUUCUGCAAGAAGGAAAGACCACGCGGCCAUGGCCGAGGCAAUGUUUGAUCACUUAUCGCUGCCCCUGCCUCAGCCGUCAACGAGCCUUUGGAUCCAUAGGCUCUGAAGGAUCCGUACUGACCAGUUAGGUCCUUGGAAAGGCUUGGACACGCAGUUCACUCAGGAUGAGCAGCAGGUAAUCGCUACAUCCGCCACCCUCUUUAGGAAAGAACGGUGGCUGGGGGUUCGAAGGUCCCAGAGAUCACACCCGCCCAUGUGGAGGUCAUUCCCGCCCGAGCUCGUAAGAGCCAGGCGGUCCGAGAGGCCAUCCAAGACCGGCGAUGGAUCACCGACAUUCAAGGUGACUUGAGCCCGCUGGCUAUGUGCAAUACAUUGUGCGCUGGAGGAAGUUCUACGAUGUGCACUUCUUGGGGAGCCUUAUGCCCUCUUGUGGCACUGGAUGCAGGACAGCCAGUUUUCUUCCAGGUCUUGCUAAAAGUUACUUUUUCAAGGACCAGUUUGAUCAAGCUCUUGGAAGCUCAACCAGAAGUCCUAGGCACCACAUGGGGUGAAGUUCUUCCUAUGGCUUGCUUGCCAAGAUAGGUGCCGGACGGCAGAUCGGUUAGCUAGGAGGGGACUCCAACAUGCCCCUCGGUAUUAUGCAAAAUAUACAUAAUUCCUAAGGCCCCUAUUUCAGGAGCCUUAAGCAUGAACUGCAAAAUUCUGUAAUAAGUAAAGGUAUGAUCAAGUUAAUCAUGAGCGUAGAUGUAACAAGCAAUCUCUGGUAACUGGAAUAUGGUCAAACUGUAUAUUUCUUUUUGUUUUACUGAAAAGUGUAUAAUACUAACUCAAUGUGUGUGUUCCAUGAUAGUUAUGCAAAAUAUGCAACCCACAGGCUCCCUGCUAGCUCUGCUAGCUAGAUAAACUAACUGACUUAAACACACAUGCUUCUAAUAAAACAUAGCAUGAGUCAAAACUAACCUUUUUUAUUCUUAUAAUGGCGCUUUUGGAGGAAGUUCCGCACUUCACCAGGUUUAC